rnacentral:rRNA from 1 species
CCUACGGGUGGCUGCAGUGGGGAAUAUUGCACAAUGGGGGAAACCCUGAUGCAGCGACGCCGCGUGAGUGAAGACGUAUUUCGGUAUGUAAAGCUCUAUCUGCGGGGAGGAAGAAUGACGGUCCCUGACUAUGAAGCACCGGCUAACUACGUGCCAGCAGCCGCGGUAAUACGUAGGGGGCACGCGUAUUCCGGAUUUACUGGGUGUAAAGGGAGCGUAGACGGCUGUGCAAGUCUGAAGUGAAAGCCCAGGGCUCAACCCUGGGACUGCGUCGGAAACUGUGGAGCUAGAGUGCUGGAGAGGUAAGUGGAAGUCCUAGUGUAGCGGUGAAAUGCGUAGAUAUUAGGAGGAACACCAGUGGCGAAGGCAGCUUACUGGACAGUAACUGACGUUGAGGCUCGAAAGCGUGGGGAGCAAACAGGAUUAGAUACCCUUGUAGUC